CACAGCCACAUCAUAAUAGAUCUCCUUAGAAACCUCUGGAAGUUUCUCUGCCUCUUCACGUUUCUUUCGCCUCACGGCUUUGCUGCGUAGGGAUGAACGGGUGGAGAGAUUAGAAGAUCUUAAAUGCCAGCUCCUGAUCUGUCUUCUUCAUCAGAAUCUGUGGCCUCCUCAAAGAGGGUCUUCUUCUGGGGUGCAGGGGUUUCUUCAUCUUCAUCGUCAGAAUCAAACACGAUAUGCUUUCCUUUGUUUGCAUUUGGGAUGUCCUUAAAAAUAUUUUUUAUACACAUCAAUAAACAUUAAAAGUUAA